rnacentral:lncRNA from 1 species
AAGUCUUCUUUUAUUCCGACCAUUUCCAAGAACCCAACAUAUGUUAACAACCCAUAACAUUGAAUUUUUAUGCAAAGCAUGCAAAUAUUAAAGCCAUUCCCUAUUCAUAACAACAGAGAUUGAUGAAGAACAUACCUACGAAAACAUUAAAAGAUCGCAAAACAUAUAUCUAAAACCCAACAAUGCAGUCUAUGACUGUACUUCAGAACCCAGAACUGAAUAUAUCUAAACCCUAAACAUAUAUCUAAAGCCAUUACCUGAACCCUAUACGUUUGUACUUCAGAACCCAUAACUGAAUAUCAAUCAAUGAAUUAAGAAGCAAGAUAUUAGGGUUUGUACUUAUAGGCAGGCAGACCUCACAGAUUUUGGCCUUCUUGGAUUCGACAGAUUAUGGCCUCCUUGGAUUAGAGUUGAAGUGAGAGAGCGAAAUGUUAGAGUUGAAGUGAGAGAGCGAAAUGUAGACUUAGAGCAAAAUUUAAAAAAUUUAGGUCGCGGCGAAAUUUUUAGAAAGCACGCUUCUUCAAACAUCGACGGAAAUCAUACAAAAACGUCGGUUAAUAUAUGAAAUACGACGUCGUAAAGCGGUGAGACGUCGGUGCAACAUAAAACCGACGUCAAAUCCACUUAAUAAUAUUCCUGGGAUUUGGAUUUGCUGGGAUUUGAACGCGUGUGCACAAAGAACAGAAAAAAAAAAAAAUACAACCCUGGUGUCAUACUAAACCCUAAAUCCUAAACAUUAAAUUAUAAAUUUGUAAAAUAAAAUUGUAAAAAAGGUUUAGGGUUUAGGGUGGUCAUAUACUAAACCCUGAACCCUAAACCCUAAACCCUAAACCCUAAACCUUAAACCCCAAACCCCUAAACACUAAAACCUAAACAUAAAGCCUAAACCCUAAAAAAUAAUAUAUUUUAAAAAAAAAUUGUAAAAAAAUACAAAUGUUUGAGAAAAAUAAACCGAAAAUUGCUACGGACUCCUUACAACAAUGCCGUCUAAAUUACAGUGCUAAAACCAGUAUUAAAUAUAUAUAUAUAUAUCCC